GAUCAAGGUGUUGGCAGGACUGUGUUUCCCUAUGGAGUUUCUAGGGAAGGAAUUGGAAAUUGUUUCCUUGUCUUUUUCAGCUUCUGGAAGCCCCUCACAUUCCUUGGCUCGUGGCCCCUUCCUCCAUCUUCAAAGACAUCAGUGGCAGUUCCAGGUUGGCGUGGCCCACAAGGAUAUUGUGCCCAAGAUUUAGAAGAUGGAAACGCAGCAGCAGCCUUCUUCUUUUUGCGAGGAAGGUCGUUGCAGGGCUCCAGGUGCUGUUGCAGCUUGCGCACGCUGAGACUCCCCCACUGGCUUGUGCUGCUGGUCAGCAGCUGGGCCACGGCUCCUCCGGUUCCCACAGGAUCACUUCCUUCGGCUUCUGUGGCUCCUAGCCAGGUGCACGCUCAGCCCCUAGACCAAGUGCAGCAAGGGUGGAGGCUUGAAGGCAUUGAGGGAUCAGUGAGGUUGGAGCUCACCCCUGUCCUCACUUCCCUCACUUCUCUCCCCAUGUGCCUGCCCUGCUGACUUCAGAGGCAGAAACAACAGCCUCACAUGGACUAGCUGAUCAGCUCCCACAGCUCACCAUCUGGCUAACCUGUGAACUCACUCACUCAUUCACUCACUAAAUAAAUGGACUUUCAUAAUGAUUUGAUAUAGGGAUAAUAUUUGUUUUAUUAUACUUACUAUAUACAGAAUGGAUGGCUUCUUAUCAUUUAAUCUAUGGUCAUAUGUCACCCCUUAUAAAAAUCUUAUCUCAGUAUCUAAAAUAAAAGCCUCUGCAACCACCCCAUGCCUUCUUACCUGUUUUAUUUUCUUUAUGGCAAGCAUUACCCAUGAGAUAUAUAUUUUCUUUUAGUGUAUUUGGUUACUUGUUUAAUUGGCCCCAUCCUAUUCAUUGCUGUCUCUCCAGUGCUUAGAACACAGCCUGCACAUUCGAAAAGUAAUGAUCAAAUAAAUGUGUUCAAUGUCUCUUUUUGGCCAGGCGCGGUGGCUCACGCCUCUAAUCCUGGCACUUUGGGAGGCCGAGGUGGGCAGAUCACAAGGUCAGGAGUUCGAGAUCAGCCUGGCCAACGUGGUGAAACCCCAUCUCUACUAAAAAUGCAAAACUUAGCUGGGUGUGGUGGCACAUGCCUGUAAUCCCAGCUACUGAGCAGGCUGAGGCAGGAGAAUCACUUGAACCCAGGAGGUGGAGGUUACAGUGAGCUGAGAUCACGCCACUGCACCCCAGCAUGGGCAACAGAACAAGACUUUGUCUCAAAAAAAAGUCUUUUAUUUGGGUGGCUGUCAACAGAUUUCUGAAUACCUAAAUAAACUAAAAUGGUUUCAAUUGCAGAC
rnacentral:lncRNA from 1 species